rnacentral:misc_RNA from 1 species
AUUACCAACACUUCUAAUCCCUGAAUCCUCCAGGGACUGCUCAUAUUUAACUUUCAGAGAGUUGAUGGAUGAGAACUUUUCGAACUUGACCAACUCAUCCCAGAAUGAGUCAACUAAAUACUUGAGCAGUAUUUUUAAGUUGUCCUUACGGAUGUACUCAAAAAGCUCUAGAACAGCCGAGUUCAGAAGAUUAUAGCGAUCUCCAUUAGCAACAAA